rnacentral:rRNA from 1 species
UACCAGCACCCCGAGUGGUCGGGACGAUUAUUGGGCCUAAAGCAUCCGUAGCCGGUCCUACAAGUCUUCCGUUAAAUCCACCUGCUUAACAGAUGGGCUGCGGAAGAUACUAUAGGGCUAGGAGGCGGGAGAGGCAAGCGGUACUCAGUGGGUAGGGGUAAAAUCCUCUGAUCCAUUGAAGACCACCAGUGGCGAAGGCGGCUUGCCAGAACGCGCUCGACGGUGAGGGAUGAAAGCUGGGGGAGCGAACAGG